GGGAGCGCUCUAAAAAAACGCAUCAUUAAACGACGAUGGAAAGCUUGCGCACGACUGGAAAUCGUGUGUGCGUUGAUAGCGCACCUAGGGUUCAAAUCCCUAACUCUCCGCCA
rnacentral:tRNA from 1 species